rnacentral:rRNA from 1 species
AGAGUUUGAUCCUGGCUCAGAGCGAACGCUGGCGGCAGGCUUAACACAUGCAAGUCGAGCGGGCGUAGCAAUACGUCAGCGGCAGACGGGUGAGUAACGCGUGGGAACGUACCUCUUGGUUCGGAACAACCCAGGGAAACUUGGACUAAUACCGGAUAAGCCCUUACGGGGAAAGAUUUAUCGCCGAAAGAUCGGCCCGCGUCUGAUUAGCUAGUUGGUGAGGUAAUGGCUCACCAAGGCGACGAUCAGUAGCUGGUCUGAGAGGAUGAUCAGCCACAUUGGGACUGAGACACGGCCCAAACUCCUACGGGAGGCAGCAGUGGGGAAUAUUGGACAAUGGGCGCAAGCCUGAUCCAGCCAUGCCGCGUGAGUGAUGAAGGCCCUAGGGUUGUAAAGCUCUUUUGUGCGGGAAGAUAAUGACGGUACCGCAAGAAUAAGCCCCGGCUAACUUCGUGCCAGCAGCCGCGGUAAUACGAAGGGGGCUAGCGUUGCUCGGAAUCACUGGGCGUAAAGGGUGCGUAGGCGGGUCUUUAAGUCAGGGGUGAAAUCCUGGAGCUCAACUCCAGAACUGCCUUUGAUACUGAAGAUCUUGAGUUCGGGAGAGGUGAGUGGAACUGCGAGUGUAGAGGUGAAAUUCGUAGAUAUUCGCAAGAACACCAGUGGCGAAGGCGGCUCACUGGCCCGAUACUGACGCUGAGGCACGAAAGCGUGGGGAGCAAACAGGAUUAGAUACCCUAGUAGUCC